GGCCGCCAGAAGGCGCCCGAGGAUCACGAAUGGGCCCAAGGAGCGGGCGGCCCCUUCCCAUGCUCAAGUCUACCGCUUCCAGUUUGUGAUGUUCUCCUUCUGUCAACAGUUAGCAAACCUGCUGGCUGUGUCGCUCUGGCAGUGAGUCCAAAGGUGAAGGAUUGAGGGGGAGCUGAUGCAUUUUGAUACUCAAAAUGUCUCCUAAACUGUCAGGAAGAAGAGAGAGAGAGACCUGAGCAAACGCAGCCGUAUCACCAUGUGAUGUGUUGUGGCACCUCAGGACUCUUCAGAGAGUCCCCACCAUCAAGAAGGCCCUCACCAGAUGCUGCCCCUUUACCUUGGACUUCUCAGCCUCCAUAACUAAUUUCAGCCAACAUCACUAUCCAGGGGCUUUCAGAGUGCAUGACCUGCAGACCUGGAAUCCCACACAAGAGGGUAUCCUACCAAGGGACACACUUCAGAAUGAAGGAGGGACCUCGGUCUUUUCUCUUAAGGCCUCCAACUGACCAGAUGAGACCCAUCCACAUUGUGGAAGAGGACAAUCUGCUUUACUCAAAGUCUGUUGAUUUAAAUGUUAAUAAUAUCUUAAAAAAUAGCAUCACAGCCACAUCUAGAUACUUUGACCAAGCAACUGGGAACUGUAGCCUAGCCAAGUUGACACAAAACCAGCCAUUAUACUUCCUGACUAUAUUUUCAUGGUAAAGAAUUCAAACAACAGGGAGAUAUAUAGAAGAAAUACUGAAAGUCACAUUUCCACCCCAUCCCUUUCGUUCCCCAGAGGUGAACACUGUGAAUUCCUCAGUCAGCAUCCUUCCAGAACUCUGCCUAUUCCUUUAACACUCAUACAUGUAAAUAUAUUCAUAUAAUUUGGUUUUAUUUUACUUAAAUGAGAUUGUCCUGUAAGUGCUGUCUAGUGUCUUGUUUUUUUGUCUCAAAUGGUAACUCAUGGAAAUCAUUCUGUGUUAGUUUAUCCAUAUUUAUCUUGUUUUUUCAGUUGGACAAACAAAACAUUCAUUCAAUGUUUACAAAAUUAAAUCAAGUAAAAAUAAAAAAUUCUCUUUGAUCA